rnacentral:tRNA from 1 species
GGGGUUGUAGCUCAGUGGUAGAGCACUUGCUUUGCAUGCAUGAGGCACUGGGUUCGAUCCCCAGCACCACA